rnacentral:lncRNA from 1 species
AGUCUACGCUCAAUUGAGUCAACCUGGAGAGAGCAGGGGAAGGGUCAAAUGUUGCCCUAGUUGACUUGGGCAAAAGAAAACUGCUGCAGCCUCCUAGCUCAUUCACAAAUGAUCCAACUGAACAUGGAGGACUCAUUGUAUAGCCCAUGAUAAUACAGUAGAGCAAUGAUGGGCAAGCUUUUGCGCUUGGUGUGUCAAAAUUCACCAAAAAACCUAGCAUGACUUGGGUAGUGUGUCACUUCCAGAAAAAAAUCAUAAUUUCACAAUAUAUAUAGUUUAAAUAACAAAAAUAUAUAAUUUUAAUAUAUAACUGUAUUUAAUAAAUCAGAAACUAUUUACUACCAUUAUUUCCAUGUACAACAAUCUAUGGUACCUCUUGCAGUUUCCAUGCUGAUUUCUCUCUAUUGUAGUUUCAAUGUAGUCAUGAAUAAUGAAUAAUAUAAUAAUAAUAUAAUAGUAAUAAUAUAAUAAUAUACUACAAAUAUAUAUAUAUAUAUAUAUAUAUAUAUAUAUAUAUAUAUAUAUGUAAUGUGCAUAAUUCCCAUGGAGUAAACAACAAAACCACUGGACCAAAUCACACCAAAUUUGGUCACAAAAGACAUUAGUCAUCCAAUCAAUCUGCAUGCGGCAGCGUGUCAGCAAAAAUGGCUAGGCGUGUCAGUGUUGACACGCGUGUCAUAGGUUGGCCAUCACUGCAGUAGAGUCUCACUUAUCCAACAUAAACAGGCCGGCAGAACGUUGGAUAAGCAGAAAAUGUUGGAUAAUAAGGAGGGAUUAAGGAAAAGCCUAUUAAACAUCAAAUUACGUUAUGAUUUUACAAAUUAAGCACCAAUUAAACAUCAAAUUAGGUUAUGAUUUUACAAAUGAAGCACCAAAACAUCACGUUAGACAACAAAUUUGGCAAAAAAAGUAGUUCAAUGCUAUUGUAGUAAUUACUGUAUUUAUGAAUUUAGCACCAAAAUAUCACGAUAUAUUGAAAACAUUGACUACAAAAAUGGCUUGGAUUAUCCAGAAGCUUGGAUAAGCGAGGCUUGGAUAAGUGAGACUCCACUGUAUAUAUAUAAAAGGAUUUAAAAAAUUCGGCCUAGGACAAAACAACAAAACUACACAUCCCAGAAACACUAAACUUGGCAGCACAACCCCUCAUCCAUGCCUCUACGUUCAUACAACAAAAAGAAAAGAAAAAUAAAGUCCUAAUUAGAGGGAGAGGAAUAAUUGUUUUUAUCCAAUUGCUGACAGUUAGAAGGUUAGGCUCCGCCCACUUGGUCUUCUAGCACCCACUCAGCCCAGGGGACAGGGCAGAGUUAGGGCUUCACUUAGGCCUCUUCCACACUGCCUAUUAAAAUACAGA